UUUGUAUUAGAUGAGUCAAAAUGAUGAUACACCAUUAAAAGCUUGUUGGUUUCUAUUUCUAACUACAAUCUAAAGAUGAAGAGAUGCCAUAUACAAUGGAACUAUUUGACGUUUCAGUCCAUUACUUUUCUGAAACUCCAAACAUGUACGUACUACCCAACUCAGACAAGCAAAAUACUAUGCGAAACGGAAAUGACAAUGUUGAUGAACAAUUUGUCUGAUCUUUCUAGCUGUAGCUGCCAAACAAUUUGAGAUGUACAAUAGCAUUAUGCCAAACAAUUUGUCUUGCUUCAAUAUUCGGAAUGAAAUAUUAAAAGCUUGUGACAGAUAAAGAUGUUACAUUGAAAGCUUUCUUUCUUUCUUUUUCUUAAAUUGCUCACAUAGACUAGUACAUGUAUUCUUGUAUACAUGUUCUAGCAAUGAUACAUGAACCAUAUAUAUAUAUACACACCAUGAGUACUCACUAGUAUAGUUUCUGAACAUCUGAAAUCUGUCUGUGAGAACAAAAACCGACCUAGCUAGUUUUGUGUCUCAUACUCUUUGAGGAAGUGGUACACAGAAGUUUCUUCACUCUAAAAUCCACAGUUUAUAAUGGCUGUAGCAUUACUUGGACUCCAUGUUGUGGACGAACUGUAAUAAACUGAAAGGGUGAGUGAACAUAACCUGGCGAAAGGGUGAACGAGUAGCGUUGUAGAAUCAUCGACAGUGCAAUCUUAGCUUCAGUGGUUGCAAAGUUCAAGCCCACACACAUUCGAGGUCCAAAGCCAAAGGGCAGGAAGGCACCUGUAUUAUUGUUAGUANNNNNNNNNNNNNNNNNNNNGACCUACUCCUGGUUUCCUUGUGCAUGCUGGAGAUUUCCUGGGUGUUCCCAUGGAUGAGUCUAUAACAAGGGCCUUUGAUUCCUUGAGAAGCCAUAAACUUCUGUAUGCGAGUCGGAAUCCACCAUAGCUUGUAAAUGAUCCUGAUGAGGCCUAAGACAAGAAACACACACAGAAAGCUUGAAAGAAGGAUAACCAUUCCCAUCUUGAUCAGUAUGUUUGUGUAUUGUGAAAGGCUUUUAUGUUCUUAUGGCUCUCUUUUUUUCUUCAACACAAACUCAAUGCCGUUUGCGUUUUGUAGAAGGAUCCAUCAAAACUUUCUUUUUCAAAACUUUUCUGGACACUGCAGUGGCCACACCUAUUAUCAAUCAUCACUAAAAUACAAUGAAACUAUUUGCUUUGGUCACCAAUGACGUCUUUGCACCAAUAUUGCUAGCUUUUGGAUUAAACAUAUUCAAGUUAAAGUAAAACAGAGUCGUGUAUGUUCAUCGUUUUUGUACAUUGUUAGUAUCUCUCUAGAUAAGGUUGGUUCUGCAGUGAUCUCACACAUGGGUGUUCAUGACUGAAGUCAUGGUUACAUCCAAUGUGGUUGCCCAAAACAUAAUAAGCCAAACCAACUUGAUAUUAUCUGCUCCUAAAAACAAAUAUCUUUGUGGUCCAAUAUUAGAGUGACCCUGUAACAGAUGCAGAAGGAAGAAAAGAAAGUAGUGAUCUUCAGAGGUAAUAUAACGAAGAAUGGUGAAGCAUGGAAGAUGACGCUGUAUUGUUCUGGAGCUGGUAGAUUUGACUAAGAAAUGCAGCAGCUUAGAUUUAUUGGGUUUUACCUGAGAGAGUAAACGAAGAGGUUAAAUUUAUUGAAUUUUACCAGAGAGAGGAAACAAAGCUUGGUUCUUUUGUUGCUCAGUUUUAGUGGGUCUUCCAUGUUUUGGGAAAAGCUUUCACCUUUUUCCAAUUGUGAUGUGAGAAAAAGCCAAAAUCAAGGGAUCUAAAGCAUUUUGAGUUUUCACUUGCCCUUUCAAAGAUUUCCUGUUUGCCAUGUUUGAUUCUUGAUACUUUUCUUGAGUGAGAGAUACAUGUUGAGGUUAAAUCUAUAAUGCAAAAUGAAAACAUUAUGACAUAGACUCAUAUGCAACUCUUGGACUACAAAGUUUUCGAAAAAUAAAGUUUAGUCACUCAAUUUACCUUUUGUUAUAAAUAUUAUAAUUUAUGUGGCUGUCCACGUAAUUACUUAUUAGUUAUGUACUCUGAUAUAAACCCUACCUCUAUAUAAAGAGGCUAAUAAUAAUGAAUAAGUAGACUUCUACCUCCUCCUAAUUAUUCUCUCUGUGUCUUCUUUUCUUUUUUCUUUACUUUACAAUACGUUAUCAGCACGACUCUACAUUUGAGUUGAUAACGAACAUUUUUUUUCUCUCCUUAUCUCUAACUCGAUGAUGAUCUGAAAGCCUGGAUACAACUUUGUUGUUUUUUCAUCGACCGGGUACUCUUGAUCUAUGAGUCUCAAUUUCCAUAAAUCAAUUCUCAGUUUUCUUAAUUUUUGUUAGUUCAAUUGCUAAAUAUAAUUGGCAGCAAUUCGAACAUAUGAUCAUCAAUUUUCUUUUUAUUUUUUUUUUACUGUUAACGAUAACAAUUUGGAUGGUGGGUGUUUGAUACCAUACCUAACCGUGUACAUUAUCUUGCAAUUACAUUUAUUGUGUAUAUCUAUUAGGGCUUGAUUCGUUCAUAUCAAAGACCAAAUUGGUUUUCUAUAUUUACGUUUCCCUCAUCAGUCUCUCUGCAAACAUAACUUGUCUUGUUUGUUCUUUGUCAUUAGUUAGUAUGCACACAUAAUAGGAGAUAAUUUCAGUUCGUCUUGCCUAUACGAUCUCACACAUAUGAUUACAAUUCCUUCUUUCAUAAAUAUAUAUUUAUCCUUAUAGUAUGGACGUACAGUUUCAUGUUCCUCUUCUCCAUGAUAGAGAUUUCAGGUAGAAUUUUUCAUGUUUUGACCAAUUUGGAUUCAAUUUGUACAAUGCCUGAUACAAUUUUAUAUUUCUGAAUUGAGAACAAACUCACGUUUACAACUAGUUUGAGUGUUGUGAUCAUAGAUCGAGACCUGAAGUCUCUUGAUUGAACUAUGAAAGGCCUGAAGUUCCUCAAAGAGUAAUAUAAUGAAAUUGCGAUAUGAAAGAUUUUCAAAACUCAUGCAAUUAAGGAGGGCCAAAAGUCUUUUAAAAUCAUAUAUAAUAUGACAGAACCACAUCUUGUGAUUCCUAGUUACAUGAGGGCCCAAAGUUCCUCGCCUUAUAUGAUAUUACAUUCUAAUGUAACUAGAGGAGAUCGGGAAAUCAAGAUUAUCAUAUUUGUAAAGUUAACCAGAUCUGAAGAUCUUAUUAAUUCAUGGAACCAGAAGUUUCAUGUGUACGUACAAUUUAUUUAUCUUUUGCUCUUUACAGUGUUCUUAUUUUGUUAUGCAAUUUCAUUAUUGUACUUAUCGUUUAAAUUUUAUUGUUAUUCAUACAGACCAACAACCUUAUAUCUCGAACGUAUAAAGUUUCACUUGGGUUACUCGAGCCUGAAGUUUCGAGCACUUGAAUUAUUUGAACCCGAAGUUUGACAUACGAAAUCUGAGUACCUAUCAUUCUAACAUUAUAAAUUCGAACCUGAAGCUUCGAUUUCACAUAUGAUUGAUGGCUCCAGAAGUGCAUCCUCUUUGAAUUAAGUGUCUCAAAUGCGGUUCAAAAUUGAUUAAUAUAUGAUAUAUAUAGAUUGUGUCAAUUUUGACAGUGAACUAAGGCACAUAAUAUCAUGAACCAGAAGUUCAUUGAACCAAAUACUUUAUUUGGCAUGACAAGUUAUGUCAUAUUUUACUUAUAGUGCUGCCUGGAAUCAAUAACAAAUUUUGAUAACCACUAGCCCUACUCAUAGCCGAUUGUUUAUUUGUCGCAUAUUUUUUUAGUUGUCACUUUAAUGAGACAAUCUUCCCAUCAUGAGGGGGAGAGAGAUUGUUCCUGAAGAACGAUGUAGAGUGGUGAAAGUUGUUUAUCCACCUUCUCAUUUUGAUUUUGAGAAAUGUCUCAGCUAGUGAUUUGAUAAAAGAUCUUGACAAACGUAUAUGCUAAAAGCAUAUGCAUCAACUUGGAUUAAAGUCUAUGAGAUCAUCGAUAUUAACUCAAAUACUCUAUACCCCAUUUGAUUUGUGGGAUGCACAUGUAUCCAAGUGACAUGGUUCUCCUGAAGAGAAUGUCAUGAUACAAUGUUAGAGUUCGUAAUAUGGCUACACAUACAAAGGUUGUAUGUACGUCAUUAGAGAAUGAUAUCUUGGUUGAUUUUAAUGAAUAUAAUGUUUUUGACCUCAUACUUGGUUUAGGUUCGCCACUAGCCAAUGAACAUCUCACUCGAAAAAAAGUGAUAGAUCUUUAGACGCAAUAUAUGCUCAUGGUCAAAAUAAGACGGUCUUCCCGCCGUUAGGGGGAGAAUAAAACUACUGCUCAUGCUCAUUUGAAUAACGAUGUGAAUUUGAGUGGAAUGUAUCCACUAGGUCUAAAGGUUUAAGCUCCUGAAAAUGGAAGAUUAUACAGGUUUUCUAAUGGUCUAUAUGAUAUUACAAGUAAAAGAUCCACAUUCACUAUAUAAUAUUUGUUCUAUAGGUGACAGUAUUUGCCCCAGAAGUGGCAUGGGUACCCAAUAUAAAAAAUGCAUGCAUAUUAUUGUAAAGUAAAAAAAAAAGAAAGAGAAGACACAGAGAGAAUAAUUGGGAGGAGGUAGAAGUCUAAUCAUUCAUUCUUAUUAGCCUCUUUAUAUAAAUGUAGAGUUUACAUCAGAAUAUAUAACUAAUGAGUAAUUACGUGGACAGCCACAUAGAUUAUAAUAUUUAUAACACUCCCCCUUGGAUGUCCACCAAUGAAUGAUGAAAUUAGACGCGUUUAAUGUUGUCUCGUUAAAAACUUUGCCAGGUAAAAAAAACCAGUGGGAGAAAAAUAACCCUGGUCGAAAGAGAAAAGAGUACAACGCGCAUAUGUUUUAGGUAGCAUAUUUUUGGAUGCUCCCCCUGAUGAGAAUCUCCCCCUGAACGUUGCAAGCUUCAUGUGUAGUAAAUAACGGUUUGAUUUGUCCAUCACUAAAGUGAGACUAUGUGUGUUUUGCAUAUAGGGGCUCAUCAUCUGCAAAGUUAAAACAAUACCAACAAAUCUAAAUGAUAAUAAAUAGGUUUUACCUCAUUGAGUCAUAUGACUAAAUUCAUACACUAAGUAAUAGCUACACAAGAUAAGCAAAUUGACAUUAAAACAUUGAAAUAUCUAGCCAUACACAUUAAUAUCUUUGUGUAGUGAUACGUCUCAUAUAAGCUCUUCAAGAGCUCUGAGUAAUUCAUAACUUCUAAGAGUUAGAAUAUGUAGCAACAUAAUGAUCAUAAUUCGAAUUCGAUUAUGUAGUUCGAUCAUAGUACUCAUUGAGGCAAUUUCGAUCACAUUAUUUAUAACAAAAUGAGUAUAUAGGAGCUAGCUUUAGACUAUUUGAUUUCAUGAAGUAGCUUCAGGCUCUCUCAAGUAUUCAUGGAUCGAAUUACAUUAGAAUCAUUCAUGUAUUUGAAUCCUUUAAGAAUUUGACAAGCGAUACGCUUGUAAUGACACUUUAUUUUUGAGAAUUUGCUUCUAGCAACGUGUCUUUUACGAUCCUCAUAAUAUACAAUGAAAAAUGUCAUAAGUCUCUCGUCAAUAACAAUUAUAUUUAUUAUGUAACACUGUACUUACAGAAAAUUGUCACAUAUAAGGAAAUAUAUUCAUAAUCCCCAUGUCUCUCGUAAACAUUAUGUCAUAGUGAUUUAUUUUCACUAUACUUAAUACCAUUUUGUAUCAUAGGGUUAAAGGUAAAAGUAUCUCAUCACGUUUCAAAUAUUUAGUUUCAUUGGAAUUGCCUCUUUUCAAUUUGGCCAAUAAUAUGCUUUGUCGACAUGCAUAAUGAAACGUGGUAUAUCAUCGAUUAAUAUGUACCAAAGAUCUUGAUCCUUGAAUGAACAUGAGGGAACUAGGUUUACUUCGUCGUGUGACAAAUAUAAGGGCCUGGUCAUGGCAUCCAUGUACGUGUUGGAGUCUUGGAGAUCCCAUUGGUGUUUCCAUUGAUGUGUCUGUAAGGAGGCUCUGUGGUUCCCUGAGUUUCUGAUGCGUCACGGAGCCCACCAUAUAGAAUUUGUGAAGGAUCUUGAAAAUCAGAGCUACAAGAGUUAUAUUUUUAUCAGAAUUGAUUUUGGUCAGAAAAUUUAGAUGGACUCAUAAUAGACAUGGGCCUAUAGUCUGAUCCAACUCAUCCAAGUCACAUCCAAAUACACUUACUUCGUGAUUUACUGGGAAACUGUAGUCUUCAGUCUUCUGACUUUACUUCUAUUACUGACUAAGUGACUGUAGCAUGAUCUUUCUUUUUUUUUUUCUUCUUUUUUUUCCACAGUUUGUAUUAGAUCAUUUAGAUGAGUCAAAAUGAUGAUACACCAUAAAAGUGUGAGGGUUCUUUUUUAUUUGGAAAUAACUAAGCCAAAAUCAACUCAUAGAAUUGAAUUAAUGAGUUAAUCUUGUGUGUGAUUCAAGAUCAGGGAAAGGCUUGUAGCGUGAACUGGCGUGGGAGCUGAAGGCACACCGCGGUGGUGAAAAUUGGACUGAGCUUUUAAGGUUAGAUUUCUGGGAAAGAUUUGGGUUUCAAGGAUAAGGAUUGAAAGAUGGUUGAUGAGGAGUUUUUGGCUUGAAGGUUUGAAGGCAUGAAAGAUUGAGUAUUUUAGGAACUUUUCUGGGCUGGUUGUUCUAUAUCCCUGCAGCUCUCGAACCCCUCUUCUUAUAGAGCUCAAUUGAUGGGUUUUGCAAUGGGUUGCGAUACCUAAUCCAAUGUGUAAAAGGAUUGUUCUUCUUAAACACAUGAUCUUAGCCUCAAAAGCUGGCAGAGAGAGGUUGACUUUGAGAGAUGGGAGAGAUAACUCACUGCAGGGGCGCUGCGAGGGCGGCUGCAGAGACGGAAACCCAGGAACAAGGCAGACCAAGUAGCUUAAAUCCCACGAUUUUGUCAUUCAAGGAUGAAAGAGCCACCUUGAAACCAGUCACUGGCCUUCUUCUUCCUCGGGUUGGGAAUGAAUGGGAUUUUACUGUUGUGCAAAGCUCGUCGUCGUACUGCUGCGGGGAAAAGAUAAAGUGUGGCAUCUGGUUCAAAAAUGAGAACAUAAAAGGGUUGGGCUUUUCCUUAAAAGGAGAGAGUUUAGGCUUUUUCCUAAAAGGAGAGAGUUUGGGCUUUUUCCUAAAAGAAAAUAGGGGGUUGGACUUUGGAUUUAAAUAUAUUUUGGGUUUAAAAGAUGAGUAGUCCAAUUCUCACAUUCUUCACCGAUUCGUCGCCGACUUAAGUCGUCGAGCUUGAGUUUCGGGCCCAAGACCGAAACUUCUUAACAACAUUAAAUCGGCGGACAAACGUUAUGUGCCUCCAUAACCAUCCACACCAUACCCACUUCUACAAGCCCCAAUGCUGCGUGUAUGCGGCUUGGGCCCACAUGAAUAUGCGGGUAUGUUCGCUUGGGUUAAAUCAAGGAUUUAACCUAAGAUUGUAUGAAAUUAUUGCGUGACGAAGUAUUAAUUGAUUGCAUGAUUUUUCGGGUAUGUUGGCUUCUAUUUCUAACUACAAUCUAAAGGUGAAGAGAUGCCAUAUACAAUGGAACUAUUUGACGUUUCAGUCCAUUACUUUUCUGAAACUCCAAACAUGUACUACCCAACUCAGACAAGCAAAAUACUAAGUGAAACGGAAAUGACAAUGUUGAUGAACAAUUUGUCUGAUCUUUCUAGCUGUAGCUGCCAAACAAUUUGAGAUGUACAAUAGCAUUAUGCCAAACAAUUUGUCUUGCUUCAAUAUUCGGAAUGAAAUAUUAAAAGCUUGUGACAGAUAUAGAUGAUUACAUUGAAAGCUUUCUUUCUUUCUUUUUCUUAAAUUGCUCAUGUUGUUUAGUGGCUCAAUUUGUCUAUGUUAAUCUUGUAUUGGAUUAAGGUGUUUUGUAAAAGCCAUCUUAAGGCUUUCUAAGGGUAGUAAUAGGGUUUCUCCCGAUUAAGAGAGAUAUAUAGUUGUUUGUUUUCUGCCGUAAACACCUUUGAGAGCUGCUGUGAUAGCAGAGCUGCUGUAUUUCUUUGUAAACCCUCAUUUGUUAGUGGAUUUCAUUCUCCCUGCUGCUCCGUGGACGUAGGCUAUUGCCGAACCACGUUAAAUCCUUUGUGUUCUCUUUUGUUCUAUGUUCUUGCAUAGAUUUGAUCUGUGGGAUUUUUCCCGCAGUAAUAUCUUGUUCAUCUGUUAGCUGCUGUUAUUUGCCGCUGUUAUUUGGUCUGAGCGCGACAGCUCACAUAGACUAGUACAUGUAUUCUUGUAUACAUGUUCUAGCAAUGAUACAUGAACCAUAUAUAUAUACACCAUGAGUACUCACUAGUAUAGUUUCUGAACAUCUGAAAUCUGUCUGUGAGAACAAAAACCGACCUAGCUAGUUUUGUGUCUCAUACUCUUUAAGGAAGUGGUACACAGAAGUUUCUUCACUCUAAAAUCCACAGUUUAUAAUGGCUGUAGCAUUACUUGGACUCCAUGUUGUGGACGAACUGUAAUAAACUGAAAGGGUGAGUGAACAUAACCUGGCGAAAGGGUGAACGAGUAGCGUUGUAGAAUCAUCGACAGUGCAAUCUUAGCUUCAGUGGUUGCAAAGUUCAAGCCCACACACAUUCGAGGUCCAAAGCCAAAGGGCAGGAAGGCACCUGUAUUAUUGUUAGUAGCUUUGGCAACCCCUUCUGAAAAUCUCUCUGGCUUGAAAAGAUGCGCAUCUGGUCCCCAGAAUUGAGGUUCACGGUGAAGCGAUAGAAUUGAGACAACUAGUUCAAGAUCAGNNNNNNNNNNNNNNNNNNNNNNNNNNNNNNNNNNNNNNNNNNNNNNNNNNNNNNNNNNNNNNNNNNNNNNNNNNNNNNNNNNNNNNNNNNNNNNNNNNNNNNNNNNNNNNNNNNNNNNNNNNNNNNNNNNNNNNNNNNNNN
rnacentral:lncRNA from 1 species